AUCCAGCUGACGAGUCCCAAAUAGGACGAAACGCGCGUUAGACUCGAU
rnacentral:hammerhead_ribozyme from 1 species